rnacentral:rRNA from 1 species
AUUGAACGCUGGCGGAAUGCUUUACACAUGCAAGUCGAACGGCAGCAUAGGUGCUUGCACCUGAUGGCGAGUGGCGAACGGGUGAGUAAUACAUCGGAACGUGCCCAGUCGUGGGGGAUAACGUAGCGAAAGUUACGCUAAUACCGCAUACGAUCUAAGGAUGAAAGCGGGGGACCGUAAGGCCUCGCGACGUUGGAGCGGCCGAUGUCAGAUUAGGUAGUUGGUGAGGUAAAGGCUCACCAAGCCGACGAUCUGUAGCUGGUCCUGAGAGGGCGACCAGCCACACUGGGACUGAGACACGGCCCAGACUCCUACGGGAGGCAGCAGUGGGGAAUUUUGGACAAUGGACGCAAGUCUGAUCCAGCCAUUCCGCGUGCAGGACGAAGGCCUUCGGGUUGUAAACUGCUUUUGUACGGAACGAAAAAGCUCUUACUAAUACUAGGAGUCCAUGACGGUACCGUAAGAAUAAGCACCGGCUAACUACGUGCCAGCCGCCGCGGUAA